rnacentral:tRNA from 1 species
GGUUGUAGCUCAGUGGUAGAGCGCUUGCCUAGCACUUAUGAGACACUGGGUUUGAUCCUCAGCACCA